UUUACUAAAGAUUUCCGUGGAGA
rnacentral:piRNA from 3 species